CCUGUUGGGAGCAUUAAACUUCUUUCAUGCUGGAAGAGGGGCUCCAUUCCUUCGGAAAGGUUGAUGGACAGUUAACGGUCAUUUGACGGGGGAGGGAGCUUACAAAGCCGCCUUUAAUUAUAAAACCUGACAACCUUCCUUCUACCAGAUAUUAAUCUUCAUUUUGGUACUGGGUCGUUGGGUAUAAAUUGGACAUUGUAAGGGCAGAAAUCCAAGUCCCUGAAGAGAUGGGAGUUUGUUUUGUUUUCAUCGGUGGCGUAGCCACUAUAAGUUGCCUGUGCUUCUGCAAAUCUCCAAGUGCUCCAGUUGUUCCAAUGUAAACGCUGCCAUCUGUCCAUUGACUGUGGAAAUUUCAUCACUGUCUCCAGUGAAACAGCAUUCAUCUAUGUUGGGGCUGCCUUCUAACCACCCAAUAAGAUAUUAAAGUUCAAACGUGGAGGCUGCAUGGAACAUCUAUCAACAUGACUGAGCAGGAGGCGCUGGGGGAAGCAGGGCUCUGCCAGUUUGAUUUGUGAACCUCCCAAACUUCUCUAAGUACUUGAUGAAUCUCAAGGUCCACACACUUGGAUCACAGG